CUCUAAAAUCUAGCUUUCAAAACCUCAUACAAAUUUGUUCAUCUCUCUCCCCUAUUUCAAUUAAAGCAUUAAGGAAUAGUAAGAGGAUUCAAUUUCAAUGAGAAAUAGAUUAGAGGGUUGAUUUAGGAAUUUAGGGUUAUUAGUUACGUGAGUUCGAUUUAGUUUUGAUUUCAUAAAAGACUUAGCAGAUACAAAUAAUAUUAACUGUGGAAUAUCUUAGAUCCUAUUCUGAGAGAAAAAUCAUAAUUACUGUCUGAGUUUGAUUUAACUGUAGGUUUUGUCGAAGAUUACUAAGGAAAAGUGUUAUGGGUCUUCUUUGUAGGUGAGUAUUUUUGUUUAUUGCAAUUUUGUAAAGGAACUUUUGUCUAUAUAGAUUUUAUUAGUGUUGGUGUUUAUUGGAAAGUUUUGUUAAUGUAGGUAUAUUGUCAUUAUGCUCUACUUGGAAUCUCAGUUCCACAUGUUCUUGUUGAGCUCCUCUGUUUGACCUUGUUAACCUUUGUAGUUUCAGGAGAUUGAACAAGAGUAAAAGUGAUUCUAGUCUUGUGAAACUCCGAUGUAAUUGAAAAAUGGUCAAAAUGUGAACAAGGAUCCUACACUUUUUGGAUCUAUUCCAAAUACACCAUUACUUUUCUGAAUUUCCCAAUACACACUCCAAGAUCGGAUAAUCUCUCCACAUUACCUUCCAUUCACAUAUACUUUGAAGAUUAUGUUGUGAUGAGAUCUUAGGGGAAACAUGAAACAAGGAUAGAUGCAGCCAUUGGUAAUACUCAUCAACGAAACUUUAUAGAUGCAAGUGUAUUGAGCUCGGACAACAAACUUAAAAUUUGUGAGCAACUCUCUAUUUUUCCGCUCCUAUUUUGUUCGCUACUUUGAUGUCUCUAUUCUUCUGUCUUGCGAGCUGUUUUAGUAAUGGGGCUGCUUACUGAGUGUUAAUUUUAUUUUUUCUUGGAUUGGGUAUAGUUUUAAUCUUAAUCUUAUUGUAAUUGGUUGAUUUUGUCGAGGCUAUGUAAUAUUUGCGUGGGAGAAUUUUGUAUUUUAUCUUU